rnacentral:tRNA from 1 species
AAGGGAGACCUAAUUCAGGUAGGAGACGAAAAAAAAGUAGUCGCUACCAAGAAUCAAUCCCAAAAGGUCGGAGCGAGGCAAAAUUGGCUUUCAAACUAGGUUCUGGGUUCACACAAGACCUGAAUCAGGAACAAGGGCUAUUAGCUCAGGUGGUUAGAGCGCACCCCUGAUAAGGGUGAGGUCCCUGGUUCGAGUCCAGGAUGGCCCACCUGCACAGGUGGCAAAAACAAGAGAAGCUCCGAAUCAGCACCUUAUCUUAUAUACAUAUAUAAGAGAGAAUGCUGGCUCUGAGUACAGAGUCCAGAGGAACCUUGAAAACUGCAUAGAGCUAGGUGAAAAAGCCAAAAAAGAAGACCGCAA